UACGAAGGGGGCUAGCGUUGUUCGGAAUUACUGGGCGUAAAGCGCGUGUAGGCGGCUCGGCAAGUCGGAUGUGAAAGCCCUGGGCUUAACCUAGGAAGUGCAUUCGAAACUGCCAAGCUUGAGUUCUGGAGAGGAAGGCGGAAUUCUCGGUGUAGAGGUGAAAUUCGUAGAUAUCGAGAGGAACACCGGUGGCGAAGGCGGCCUUCUGGACAGCAACUGACGCUGAGACGCGAAAGCCAGGGGAGCAAACGGG
rnacentral:rRNA from 1 species